rnacentral:lncRNA from 1 species
GUGAAAGUGAACGGGUAGGAGCAAGAUGUGACAUCAUUUUUAAAUAGGUGACUAGGCCAGCUAAGGAGACCUUUGAACAAAAGGGACUUGACAAUGCAAGCUUCCGACAAGAGGCUAUGACAGAGCAACAACUCUGAGCCUGUUGACUCCUGGAAAAUCUUGUGUCCUGCGUCUCAGCACCUCAAGCGGUGCCAGAGACACACUUCACCUUGAUCAAUAUUUCAGAAAAAGAAUGCAUGAAUGUAGUCAAGCCCCCUAACAUAACCAGUCAAGCCACUUUGUUCCAAAGUUAUGACAUGAAGAAAUUUGCCCACCUGCUCAUUGCCAAAAACUCCCGAGUUUUCUGACCACUGACCACUGGCUCUCUGGUGAGUUCAUAAAAGUCUGCUCAAAGAAACAGUCCUGAUGUCAAUGGUUU